UACGGGGGGGGCAAGCGUUAAUCGGAAUUACUGGGCGUAAAGCGUGCGCAGGCGGUUUUGUAAGCCAGGGGUGAAAUCCCCGGGCUUAACCUGGGAAUGGCAUUUGGGACUGCAAGGCUGGAGUUUGGCAGAGGAGACUGGAAUUCCCGGUGUAGCAGUGAAAUGCGUAGAUAUCGGGAGGAAUACCGAUGGCGAAGGCAGGUCUCUGGGCUAUAACUGACGCUCAUGCACGAAAGCGUGGGGAGCAAACAGG
rnacentral:rRNA from 1 species